ACAUGAAGUCGGAAUUGCUAGUAAUCGUGGAUCAGCAUGCCACGGUGAAUACGUUCCCGGGCCUUGUACACACCGCCCGUCAAACCAUGAGAGUUGGCAACACCCGAAGCCUGUAGCUUAACCGCAAGGAUGGCGCAGUCGAAGGUGGGGGUCGAUGAUUAGGGUUAAGUCGUAACAAGGUACC
rnacentral:rRNA from 1 species